rnacentral:sRNA from 1 species
UGUUCUCCAUCUUCUUCUUCUCU